GCUGGGCGUGGUGGCACACUCCUGUAAUCCCAGCUACUCGGGAGGCUGAGGUAGGAGAAUUGCUUGAACCCAGGAGGCAGAGGUUGCAGUGAGCCAAGAUCGCGCCACUGCAGUCCAGCCUGGGUGACAGAGCAAGAUUCUGUCUUUUUUUUUUUGAUAUGAAAUCUCGCUCUGUCACCAGGCUGGAGUGCAGUGGCAUGAUCUUGGCUCACUGCAAUCUCCGCCUCCUGGGUUCAAGUGGUUCUCCUGC
rnacentral:lncRNA from 1 species